UACGGAGGGGGCUAGCGUUGUUCGGAAUUACUGGGCGUAAAGCGCACGUAGGCGGCUUUGCAAGUUAGAGGUGAAAGCCCGGGGCUCAACUCCGGAAUUGCCUUUAAAACUGCAUCGCUAGAAUUGUGGAGAGGUAAGUGGAAUUCCGGGUGUAGAGGUGAAAUUCGUAGAUAUUCGGAAGAACACCAGUGGCGAAGGCGACUUACUGGACAAAUAUUGACGCUGAGGUGCGAAAGCGUGGGGAGCAAACAGG
rnacentral:rRNA from 1 species